AUUUGCUCCAGCUGUGUUUCCACCAACAACCUCAGUGCUGGUUCCUCCUUGCUGAGUCAUUUAGGCUGACUCAUCUUCUGGACUCCAGAGAUUCCCUAACUGCAUGCUUCAGUUAGGGAAAGCUUAUAAAGUUGAUUCACUGACUGCUGGUUUGAAAUGGUGUCUGCUAACAAACAGUUGCUGGUACAGCUUCUCUGUAAUGUGAGGUAAAAUACCUAUAAAAGCUUAGAAGAAGAUGUAAACUCAGAACACAGCCAUAAACUUGGACUGACAAUCCCCUGAAGACUGGAUCUGGGAGGACUUUUUGCCAAUAGUACUGCCAAUGAAACUGAAAAGAAAAGAACAUUCUAUGGGUGUGGGUGUGUUACUGAGGAAAUGCUCUGUAGGCAAGAGGUAAGAAGGACUAUUAUUUUCAUUGUGCAUCUCCUGGAUGGGGAUCCCCUGGAUGAUGGGUCCCCUCAAUUGUGUAUACUUGAAUGGAUUCUCUGGUGAAAAUUGAUGACCACCCAGAACUUUAGUAUGUGCCUUUUUUUUUUUUUUUUUUUUUUGUAAAUACCUUAUCUGCAGAUACAAUGGAUUAAGAUUUAAAAUGAGACCAUACUGGGUAGGCUGGAUCCUGAAUCUAAUGAAAGCAUCUUUAUAAGGGACGGAAAGACACAUACAGUGACUCACAGACAGAAUAUGUUUCAGGCCACAUGAAGACAGACACAGAAACUGGAAUGGUGGGGUCACAAGCCAAAGAAUGCCAGGAGCCAACAAAAGCUCAAAGAGGCAAGGAAGGACUCUGUCGUAGAGACUUCAGAGAGAGCAUGCCCCUGCUGGCACUUUAUUUUGGACUGACCUCCAGAAUCGUGAGAGGAUAUAUUUUUGUUGUAUUAUGGGCAACCCUAGGAAACUAAUACAAUGGAAAACUCAAGUUUAUGCCAAGUGUUGAAAAUGGAAAUGCCUAAGAUAAUGAAAAUGAGUGGGUUGACCAGGGAGGCACAGAGGUGAAGUUGAGAGGCCACAUGGUCUAUGAAGACACAUCCAAUUGUUGUCUUCUAAGAAUGCAGACAUGGACUUGCCAAAUAUUUUUACAGUUCAGAAGAAGCUAGAAAUUUGGAUUUCAUUUGUGUGCUCUUUUUUUUUUUUUUAACAUUGCCCUAAUUUUAUUUCAAAUGUGGUACUAACCGUGUCAAACAUGUUUGAGAAAGUCAUGGGUAGCCAGUAUGGUGCCUCCUGUCUGGGUCUGUAUUAGUUUGUUCUCAUGCUGUUGAUAAUGACAUACCCGCAGCUGGGUAAUUUAUAAAGGAAAAGGGGUUUAAUGGACUCACAGUUUCACAUGGCUGGGGAAGCCUCACAAUCAUGGUGGAAGAUGAAGGAAGAGCAAAGGGACAUCUUACAUGGCACCAGGCAAAAGCGUGUGUACAGGGGAACUCCCUUUAUAAAACCAUCAGAUCUCGUGACACUUAUUCACUGUCACAUGAACAGCAUAGGAAAAACCUGAUCCCAUGAUUCAAUUACCUCCCACCGGGUCCCUCCCAUGACAUGUGGAACUAUGGAGCUACAAUUCAAGAUGAGAUUUGGGUGGGGACACAAUCAAACCAUAUCAGGGUCCCUUUUAGCCAUCCUUGUCCUGUGCAUUUUCCCCAUUUUAUAAGAGGGAGAAUUGUGUUCCUCUCCUCUUCCAUUAUUUAUUUUCCAGCCUCAGAGAAGAUCCUGCUCCAAAGACCACAGGGCAGGGGUUGGAAGGCAGAAGCAGGAGGGUUUUUGUGGCAGUGAUGCAUAGCAUAAUUGCCUGAUGGUUAUUUCCACUCAUUAACUGUCUGUCUUAUCAGAAGUCCAGGAAGAAGUUGCACAGAAUACUAUUUUAGUCUACCAGAACCACGGUUAGUAAAGCCUGCUGGAAUGUGGAGCUGAUCUAGGAGCUGUGGGCAUUCAGCUGGUGAGUUAUGAAAUGGGAAAAGUUCCCUUAUCCCACUAGCAGGGUGUGUGAUGGGGGGAGUGACUCGUUUCUUUGGUGCCUGCAGCUCAAACCUCUAGGGGGAGUAUGCAGAUGGGCAGAUCGUGGGGAUCAUGGACUCCAACCCCACAGCAGUGUCUAGGGUUGGGUGUUUACAGCUCUGGAAGCCCCAGUGUGUUACAGUGUGCUCUUUCAGCUUAGAUAUCUGCAGGCGGCUUGUGUUAAUCAGCUCAAUCAGACCCUCUGCCUUAUCACAAGGACAUAGGGCUUUCUGUAUCCCGGGGUUCUUGCAGUAGUGUACUGGAAAAAUCAGAUCACGUGUUGGCAUGGAGAAUGAGUGCAAGGUUUUAUUGAGUGGUAGAAGUAGCUCUCAGCAGAUGGAUGGGGAGCAUGAGAGGGAUGGAGUGGGAAAGUGGUCUUCCCUUGGGUCAGGCUGCUCUGUGGCUGGGCUAUCCUCCAACUGUCCUCAGCCAAAUUCCACGUCAUCCCACCAUCAAUGGCCUGCCAGUGUCUGUUGGUGUGUUCUUCUGCCUGUGUGUUUCUCUUGACAUCCACACACUUGUGUGUAUGCCUGCUAGGGUCUCGGGGGCUAUAUAGGCACAGAAUAGGGGGCAUGGCAGGCCAGAGAGAUCUUGGAAAAUGCAACAUUUGGAUCUGAAAACAGGAGUGCCUGUCCUCCCCUGGGUUCGUGAGACUCAGACAAUUUAUUUCCUGAUUAUUGAUUGGGGGUGAGUGGGAGAAGGGAAAGUAUCUGAGGACAUAUUCUACAUUACCAAAAUUGAUUACAAAUGAAGAGGCCAAGAAUGAGAAAGGCAGGGCCUGAAGAGCCUGAUGGAUCUGCCUUCACUCAAAUUGGACUCCACUCUCAGGAUUUCAGUCAUGGUGCAGUUGUGUAUCCAAGGGCAAAGCUUGGCCUCGAUGUGAUACCCUCAUUGGUUUUGCUCUUCCUCCAACUUUCAGGGGAAUGUGUUUCCAGAAUCCUUUAUUCCACCUUUGAUGUGAAAAUUGGGUCCAUGAUUACAAAUGGCUGAUCCAUGUGGGGCUUAAUGCCUAGGUGACGGGUUGAUAGGUGCAGCAAACCACCAUGGCACACGUUUACCUGUGUGGAGCCCUCACUGGGGACCCCACCCUUCUCUACCCAGCAUUUUCUGCCCCCCUCCCAUAUCUGUUACACCUUGAAACAGAAGAUUUGACCAGAAGGAAGUAGGGUCAAGGAACAUUCAUCCUUGAGGUCUUCUGGUAAACACUAGACUUUGAUACAUUUUAUUUUAUUUGGGGAUGAGAAAACUACAAAACAUGAAGAAUAUGAGCCUCAACAAGGACAGCAAUCACAGUGGAGAAAUAUUGAGCACUGGUCAUCCAAAAUUAUUGUGAAAGCUCCCAGCAAGAUCAAAUCCUUGACACCCAUCUGCUGAAGGAAAUAGAUUUUUGUUUUAAGGAAAUUAUUUGGAGUCCUGAGAUUCAAGGACAAACCUUGCAUCUCAUCUCUUUUGGAUUUCUGUUGGAAAUAGGACAAAUGUUUCAAAGAAAGAACAAAAUGUCAUGUAAAAAGAACUGGAUAAGAUAAGGAAGAAUUUAUAGGCAGCCAAAAGUGCAACAGCAGAAUUACAUUAGCAUUAACAAGCAGUGGAAAACUUAAUUGAGAUUAUGGAAAAUCAUAUUGUAUUAUAAGGGACAAAUUUUAGAACUCUCCUAGAAAGUAUGGGACAGAGAUGAAAAUGAUGAGAGAGCAUGUGUUUGUUUAAAAAGUCUGAGAUAGUAGCUUUAACUUAAGAAUUAUAAGUCUUUCUACUUGAGAGAGAAAAGACAAAUAAAAAAUACUUCCAAAAAAAUUCCUACUUAUAAAAACCAAUGUAUAAAUGUUAAAAUUGGUUCUUUAAGUUACAAGUAAUGUUAGUAAAACAAGCAGCAAAA
rnacentral:lncRNA from 10 species